CCUACGGGAGGCAGCAGUGAGGAAUAUUGGUCAAUGGGCGCGAGCCUGAACCAACCAAGUAGCGUGAAGGAUGACUGCCCUACGGGUUGUAAACUUCUUUUAUAAAGGAGUAAAGUGAGGUACGUGUGUCUGUUUGUAUGUCCUUUAUGAAUAAGGCUCGGCUAACUCCGUGCCAGCAGCCGCGGUAAUACGGAGGAUCCGAGCGUUAUCCGGAUUUAUUGGGUUUAAAGGGAGCGUAGAUGGGUUGUUAAGUCAGUUGUGAAAGGUUGGGGCUCAACCGUAAAAUUGCAAUUGAUACUGGCAGCCUAGAGUACAGGUGAGGUAGGCGGAAUUCGUGGUGUAGCGGUGAAAUGCUUAGAUAUCACGAAGAACACCGAUUGCGAAGGCAGCUUACUAAACUGCCACUGACAUUGAUGCUCGAAAGUGUGGGUAGCAAACAGGAUUAGAUACCCGUGUAGUC
rnacentral:rRNA from 1 species